AUUGAACGCUGGCGGCAGGCCUAACACAUGCAAGUCGAACGAGUGGCGGACGGGUGAGUAAUGUCUGGGAAACUGCCUGAUGGAGGGGGAUAAAUACUGGAAACGGUAGCUAAUAACGCAUACCAUCGGAUGUGCCUAGCUUGGAUUAGCUAGUAGGUGGGGUAACGGCUCACCCAGGCGACGAUCCCUAGCUGGUCUGAGAGGAUGACCAGCCAAUCUGGAACUGAGACACGGUCCAGCCUCCUACGGUAGGCAGCAGUGGGGAAUAUUGCACAAGGGGCGCAAGCCUGAUGCAGCCAUGCGGGGUGUAUGAAGAGGGCCUUCGGGUUGUAAAGUACUUUCAGCGGGGAGGCGUUACCCGCAGAAGAAGCACCGGCUAACUCCGUGCCAGCAGCCGCGGUAAUAC
rnacentral:rRNA from 1 species